rnacentral:rRNA from 1 species
UUGACCUCGAAUCAGGUAGGAAUACCCGCUGAACUUAAGCAUAUCAAUAAGCGGAGGAAAAGAAACCAACAGGGAUUGCCCCAGUAACGGCGAGUGAAGCGGCAACAGCUCAAAUUUGAAAUCUGGCCCCUUGGGGCCCGAGUUGUAAUUUGCAGAGGAUACUUUUGGCGAGGCGCCUUCCGAGUUCCCUGGAACGGGACGCCAUAGAGGGUGAGAGCCCCGUCUGGUUGGAUGCCNAGCCUCUGUAAAGUUCCUUCGACGAGUCGAGUAGUUUGGGAAUGCUGCUCUAAAUGGGAGGUAUAUGUCUUCUAAAGCUAAAUAUUGGCCAGAGACCGAUAGCGCACAAGUAGAGUGAUCGAAAGAUGAAAAGCACUUUGGAAAGAGGGUUAAAAAGCACGUGAAAUUGUUGAAAGGGAAGCGCUUGUGACCAGACGUGGGCCUGUCGGAUCAUCCAGCGUUCUCGCUGGUGCACUCCGGCGGGCUCAGGCCAGCAUCAGCUCGUCCCGGGGGACAAAGGCAGCGGGAAUGUGGCUCCUUCGGGAGUGUUAUAGCCCGCUGUGUAAUGCCCUGGGGCGGGCUGAGGUUCGCGCAUCUGCAUGGAUGCUGGCAUAAUGGUUAUCAGCGACCCGUCUUGAAACACGGACCAA